rnacentral:lncRNA from 1 species
CCUUGGGCCGACGUGGCCCAGUCCGCCACCCCCACCGGCUUGGCCCAUCCCCCCACCUCCCUGGCGCAAGCAACCAGGCCGGCUUGGCCCAUGGCAGGCAGCGGCCCAACCUGGCUCAGCCCAAGGCCGGCUCUCCUCCCCGCAGGCCGACGCGCCUCCAUCCGGUGGUGGGCUGAAAUUCAACAUUUUGGCCCACCACCACUUUUAUUAGUUUUUAUUUACCGUUAGCUUUUUAAAUAUUAGUUUGAAUUAGUUUUUAGUCCCUUUAAUUUCUGCAAUUUACUAAAAGCAGUUUGUCAGUGUCAUUACCUUCAUA